GCAGAGCAAGGCGCUGGCAGGAUUUUAACUCAAUCCCAAGAUUGGACCGUGCUUCAAGCGCAGUGUCCCGAUUCCCGCAUGCUUACAGCGGCCAAGAGAAGGGGAAUAACAGAUGCUGAACAAAACGAGAUAAAGGCAAUCAACCUUAACGGGACAGCAGAGAAUACCGGGAGGUUAGCUCAGUAUUUCUGGCACAACAAGUCCCAAGUGACACCAUUUCGGUGAACGGGAAGGCUCUGGCAGCGGAGAGAUGAGUAACAAACUCACUCUUCCUACCAGCUACACAGUAAUAAUGAUGGCCUAGCUUUACUGCGGAGCUGCUCUGCACCUCAAAAACAACGGCAAAACCUUAGAGGCACAAACCCAGGAUCCACAACUGAAUCUUAUUACAGUAUCCCUGUAAGUGACGCAAAAAAACCCUGUUCCAGAAAAUUAGCUGUUGCUGCAAAUCUGUGCAGAUACCUGCCAACUGGAUGCGGAUUCCAGUGUUUGCUCUUUCAGUCUCCAAUGGUUGUCAAGCCUUUGGAGUAAAAUAUAGAGACUCUGGAAAACAUCAAGGGGAGGAUUCUCAUGAUUAGCAUAAAGAAAUUGAUUGAAAAAAAGCUGAGGAUUGGAGAUGUGGUGUAGUACCACUUAAGAAACAGAUGACUUUGCAUUUUAAACAAAAAGUGAGUUAUUCACCCGUGCGAUUCUGACAAGCUGCGUAACAACUUUGUUGGACACCACCAUUCCCACCAAGGAAGAAACAUCCUCGGUUCGUCUGCGCUGAAAACACCACGAGCUGUGAAGCCCUCGGUGCAAGUCAGGCGUUUUGUGUUCAAGUAGCCUUGUCUGUCUGGGAUCGGAUAUUUUUUGGCUUUUGCAUGUGUCUCGAGGCCCUCAGGUUGGUGUUUGUCCUGCUGCUCUCGGUGUUCUAUCUGCAACAUCUGCGGGCGCACAGAUUUUCCCACAAUCUGUAGUUUGCUGCUUGGGUUUGUGAGAUGCUAAUCACAACUGACGCGCAUACAGAAAGACUGCAAAAUGGUUUAUGUUCUUCUCAGUUUACAGAGACAACACUGUAGUUUUGACUGAUUGUCUAUGUGGUUAAGAUGCAUUAUUUUAGAAGCAAUUUUGUGAUUAGAUUGUCAUAAAUUUGAAAAAGCUGAUAAUUUUUCUUUUUUUCUUUUUUUUUUUUUUUAAUUUAUUCCUUGAAAGGUCAUCUUGUGAGUGUUUUGUUUUCCUGGUAGUCACAUGUUUCUUUUAAAAAUUAUUAAAUGUUAAUGGAUUUUCUGGGUGCGUAUGUUUAUGGCUGCACAUGCUGUUUUUUACAGGCUUCAUGUAUUUUAAUCUUUAUCCUUGGUCAAUGAAGAAAAAUCUGUACUGCUAAUGUACAGUGGGUGUUUUACUUGCAGUUACUAUCUUACAAGUAUUAAAAUGUAACUUUCUUUAGCAUUUCAAAGUUCUUUUAUGAGUUUCAUUAAAGCCAUGUUAAAUCCUUUCCAUAAAAUCACUUUCUACAGUUUAGAAGUCAACCUCAAUCUCCACGCACAUCUUAAAUCCUGAGAGCUGUAUUUUAACAGGGUAACAUAGGCAUCAUUUAUGGAAAGACCAGGCAAAACCUAUGCAAAUGUUUAUUUUUUCUGUAUUCAAGCUAGACUGUAGUUUCAAUUAUCAAAUUAGUGAAAAAGGAGCAGCAGCAUGAGCCUACACGUUUCAGAAAAGUGACUUUCUCUUAAGUGAGUCUGUGCUUUUCUGUAGAACAAAGUUGAAGAAUGUGUUACAGAUUGUUUGCUCGGCUGUCAGUGGUUGAGGCUAAGGUAUUCAUGCAUUUGAUUGCAUUUUAUUGCUAAAACGUUAAGGCAGGCUGAAAGUAUAUUGUUUCGCUUUACUGUCUCCCAAAUCCUGAAGCGUUCUUUUCUAAUGUUCCUCUGGUAUUUGGUUUUAUUCAUGAAAUCUGAGUGUAAGAAUUGCAAUACAUUGUUUUCUUUUAUGUAAAAUAACAUUAAAAUCAGUAGCCGGGGUGGACACCCGAUCUAAAAGCAGCACCGUUUAGCUCAGAUACAGAGGCUCGGGGGGACGCACGGGGGUGUGGGCUGUUUGGAGGGACCGCGGCCGAGCGUGGCGGGGCCGGUGGCUCCAGCGCGGUGCGGGGCCGAGCUGUGCCCGCGGCUCCCGGGGGGCUGCCAGCCCCGGCCCUGCCCCCCCUGCCGUCGCCCCGCUCCCCCUCGUUUCUCUCACCGGGUAAUGCGUCGUGCAGAUGGAAAAUGAGCUGUGAGUGAAAAUAGGUGUUUUUCCACAAACCGGUUUCAUCCUAACUGAGGGACACGUGGCUUUGGUUAGACAACAACAACUCAAAGAAAAAUCCAGCACGGUGGGCUUCCCUGACUACUCAGUGGCGUGUGUUCCUUCAGGUUAUCCCGGCUUCGUGCUGAGAGAAGAAGGGGCAGGGGAGGGGGGGCGAAGCGGUAGGAGGAAGGUGUAGCUGCACCACGUUACCCCCCCAGGCAGCGUCUUCUGCGUGUGCGAAACACAGAAACACGCGUGGACAGGGGCGAGCGGGGAGCAGCACGGCCCCGCUGCCGGCAGCGCCGCUGCUGCCCGGCUCUUCUCGCCACAAAGAUCUGCUGCCCCAGAUUUCUUUUCUGUUUGGUCAGAAGCAGGCCCGGCCGUUAGCCGGCUGUGUUAUUCUGCGGACAUGAGUGGCGUACGGACAUGGUAAUACCUGGCAUUCAAAGAGAUGUGGAAUUGUAUAGCGGGAGGGGGGGAAGAGAUGCAAAUAAAGGAGAUGUUUCAAAAAUAAAAUAUGUAAAGUGCAUAAAAUGAUUUUAAGAGAAGGAUCACCUUAUUUUAUGACCAGAUUACUGAUGUAAACUAGAUGUGUAUUGAUUAAUUUUCUUAAAAAAUUGAGACCUUAGAUUCAUGACUAAGCUUAAUAUAGUUUAUAAAAAUAAGUUCAUUAAGCAUUAAAACAUAAUUUUAUUCUCUGCACUUGCUUCCAGGUUCAUAAAGAAAUUUUUGUCAUUUGCCUGGUGGGAGUCACUACUCAAGCACCAAAAAUUAAAGUUUAUUGGAGAGUUAAACCAUCAUUUCCGAGUGUCUUAUUAAGGGUCUAAGGGAGUUUUAAAUUUUAGUUCACUCGACUAAUCUAGUCCAGUAACUUCUGUGCUCAAAGCUGGGAAAGGCAGGAAAACCCUUCUGUUUCUAUCCUACGGUCAAAAUGAACAGAUGAGAUCCAGUACUUCUAAAAUCAGCAAGGAGGCAGGGACUGUGUGCAGUUGAUGCUAUGCAUUACAUAUGGAUAGUACUUUAUUUAUCUAAUAAAAUAGUUUUUUACAUUUAAAUAAUAAAGUUUUUACUUAGAAUUCAAUAGCAUUUUCUUUAACUGUAAAAACAGUCCUAAAAUUCUGCAUGUAUGUUUUAACUGAUUUUAAAUGCAGCUUGAUACAGUACACAAAUAAAAGGAAAAAUCCCACUAUAAUUAAGAAAUAUUGAAUUCACUUUCUUUAAUGUAAUAAAUGUUAAGAAAAAUGUGAAAAACACCAUGCUGAACAAGAUACAGUUAAAUGUUUGUGUUUUGUUUCUCUUAUCUAAAUAGAUAAUUAAAACUCUUGAUAUUGAUUAACUUUCUACUAGCCUGUCCUGUAGAGCAGAAUACAAAUUAUUUACAUAACCAGCAGCUUGAUGUAUGUGUAUUGAAUAGCAAGCAAAAAACAACCGAACAAGGUAACCAUGUGCUUAGCUGUAAACCAAGAUGUGAGUUUAUGUUUAUUUGGAUGUUUGGGAUGGGAAGAGCUUUAGUGCAGUGCACUAUGUACACUUGCAUGAAUUGCCACACAAAAUAAACAUUUAAUAAAGGAACCCAUUUAUAAAACCUUAAA